ACUCUGGGAUAAGCCUGGGAAACUGGGUCUAAUACCGGAUAUGACCUUCCAUCGCAUGGUGGUUGGUGGAAAGCUUUUGCGGUUUUGGAUGGACUCGCGGCCUAUCAGCUUGUUGGUGGGGUAAUGGCCUACCAAGGCGACGACGGGUAGCCGGCCUGAGAGGGUGACCGGCCACACUGGGACUGAGACACGGCCCAGACUCCUACGGGAGGCAGCAGUGGGGAAUAUUGCACAAUGGGCGGAAGCCUGAUGCAGCGACGCCGCGUGAGGGAUGACGGCCUUCGGGUUGUAAACCUCUUUCAGUAGGGAAGAAGCGUGAGUGACGGUACCUGCAGAAGAAGCGCCGGCUAACUACGUGCCAGCAGCCGCGGUAAUACGUAGGGCGCAAGCGUUAUCCGGAAUUAUUGGGCGUAAAGAGCUCGUAGGCGGUUUGUCGCGUCUGCCGUGAAAGUCCGGGGCUCAACUCCGGAUCUGCGGUGGGUACGGGCAGACUAGAGUGAUGUAGGGGAGACUGGAAUUCCUGGUGUAGCGGUGAAAUGCGCAGAUAUCAGGAGGAACACCGAUGGCGAAGGCAGGUCUCUGGGCAUUAACUGACGCUGAGGAGCGAAAGCAUGGGGAGCGAACAGGAUUAGAUACCCUGGUAGUCCAUGCCGUAAACGUUGGGCACUAGGUGUGGGGGACAUUCCACGUUUUCCGCGCCGUAGCUAACGCAUUAAGUGCCCCCCCUGGGGAGUAC
rnacentral:rRNA from 1 species